UGCGAGUGGGUUAGGGUUUGGCUAGGGUUACUAUAAUGCGAGUGUUAAGGUUUGGCUAUGGUUACUAUUAUGCUAGUGUUAUGGUUUGGCUAGGGUUACUAUAAUGCGAGUCUAAAGAUUUGGUUAGGAUUACUAUAAUGCGAGUGUUAGGGUUUGGCUAGCUUUGCUAUAAUGCGAGUGUUUGGGUUUGGCUAGGAUUACUAUAAUGCGAGUCUUAGUAUUUGGCAAGGGUUAGUAUAAUGCUAGUGUUAGGGGUUGACUAGGGAUACUAUAAUGCAAUGGUUAGGGUUUGGCUAGGGUUACUAUAAUGCAAGUGUUAGGGUUUGGCUAUGGUUACUAUUAUACGAAUGUUAGGGUUUGGCUAAGAUUACUAUAAUGCUAGUGUUAGAGUUUGGCCUGGGAUAGUAUUAUGCUUGCGUUGGGGUUGGGCUAGGUUUACGAUUAUGCUAGGGUUAGGAUUGGUCUAGGCUUACUAUUGUGUUAGAGUUAGGGUUGGGCUAGUGCUAGUAUAAUGCAAGUGUUAGGGUUGGGCUAGGGCUACUAUAAUGCAUGUGUUAGGGUUGGGCUAGGUUUACUAUUGUGCUAGGGUUACAGUUGGGCUAGUGUUACUAUUAUGCUAGUUUUAGGGUUGGGCUAGGGUUACUCUAAUCUUACUAUUAGGGUUGGGCUAGGGCUACUAUAAUGCAUGUGUUAGGGUUGGGCUAGGUUUACUAUUGUGCUAGGGUUACAGUUGGGCUAGUGUUACUAUUAUGCAAGUGUUAGGGUUAGGCUAGGGUUACUUUAAUGCGAGUGUUAGGGUUGGGCUAGGGUUACUAUAAUCCUAAUGUUAGGGUUGGGCUAGGGCUAGCAUAAUGCGAGUGUUAGGGUUUGGCUAGGGUUACUAUUAUGCUAGUAUUAGGGUUGGGCUAGGGUUACUUUAAUGCGAGUGUUAGGGUUGGGCUAGGGUUACUAUAAUCCUAAUGUUAGGGUUGGGCUAGGGCUAGCAUAAUGCGAGUGUUAGGGUUUGGCUAGGGUUACUAUUAUGCUAGUAUUAGGGUUGGGCUAGGGCUACCAUAAUGUGAGUGUUAGGGUUUGGCUAUGGUGACUAUAAUCCGAGUGUUAGGGUUUGGCUAUGGUGACUAUAAUGCGAGUUUUAGGGUUUGGCAAGGUUUAUUAUUAUGCUAACGUUACGGUUGGGCCAGGUUUACUAUUAUGCUGGGGUUAGUAUAAUGCGAGUGUUAGGGGUUGGGCUAGGGUUGCUAUUAUGUGCAUCUUAGGGUUGGGCUAGGGUUACUAUAAUGCUAGUGUUAGGAUUUUGCAAGGUUUGUUAUUAUGCUAACGUUAGGGUUGGGCUACUUUUACUAUUGUCCUAAAGUUAGGGUUACUAUGAUGCGAUUGUUAUGGUUUGGCUAGGGUUACUUUUAUGUGAGUUUUAGGGUUGGGCU
ensembl:lncRNA